ACAUGAUGACAUGGUCGCUUGGUGACCUUGAAGGUAUUUUGAGAGGUGAAGGGGACCCUGAGAAUGAUUGCUGAUUUAGUUUUAGGAAGAUUUUGGAAAAUAAAGACAGCAGAUGUUCCUGUGCCAGGAGGUGCAAAAUGGGGGAGGAAGCAGCUUGAGGCAGGUGUGCAUCUCCUGCUGGCUGCCCACACACCUGCACCCCAGCCUGGAGGGUCCUGCACAGCCCCAGGUGAUGCUGAACCAGGGGGAACUGCAGGGAAAUGCCAUCCAAACUGGUGAAAAACCUCCCUACAAGUCCUGUCCCCAGCAGGAGGAGGUGACAUACAGAAGCCAGAGUGGUGGAUGCCUGGAGAAGCUUGUAAACACUUUCAAGCCUAUUUGUGCUUCACUCUGAAGUUUAUUGGCCUGCUGUAAACAUCUUAACAAGAAAGUAACGUGAAAAUAAUUAUUCACCCAUAAUUUUGAAGAAGAAGCAGCUGAACUCUGUGCUGGUGAGCUCUACACAGCUACAGCUGUCAGUAACCCUUGCAACACUCCCAGCUUGAGCAGGGUUCCUGGGGACUGCCCAGCUUGUCCAUGAGAACAGAGGGACAGCACCAGGCAGGUUUUUGCAGCUCUGAAAGCCCAGAACAUCUUCCCUGUGCCACCUGGCCAGAGGCACCCCACAGCUGGAGCUGUGCCCUGAAGAACUUCCAGGGGGCAUCUCCCAGAUGUGCAGCUCAGACACAAGCUGUGCCAGCCAUGGAGCACACACUUUUCAUUUAAUUCUUGCGGGAGUGGGUUGGGUUGGAGGUAAAAGCUGCCUUUGCUGUCUCCUUCCUCACUGAUGGUUGCAUUGAGGCUGUUCAGGUGCCGGUGGCAAUGAGGGCAAGUGGUGUUUGGGGGGCUGCAGAGCCUCUUCUGCUGUCAGUAUCAUCUGAAGGUGCCGAGUCCCAGCCCAGCCAGGCUCCUUGGGAAAUUCCUGGGGAAGCUCCAGGCCUGAGAGUUUCCAAGAAGCUGACACAUUUGGAAGGCCUGGGGAAGGAAAGCUUCGUGUCCCCUGGAAGGCCCUGGCUGGGAAUCCUGCUGCUGACUCAGCGCUGUGGCAUGGCGAGCAUUGCUCCUGUCUCCAGAGACUCCCUCCAGCAAAAUCCUGGUGACGACAGGCUCAGAGAGAGCUGCUGCACCAAGGAUGAGAAGAGUGGCAGGAGAUCCAGCAGCAGACCCUCCUGCCCAGGACCAGGCACCUUCUGUCAUUUCCCUUCACCAAGGCCACUGUCACCAAGGCUGAAGGCUUCCUGCAGCUAUCUCAGGGAGCAGGCUGGACACUUUGACAUUCUUGUGGCUCCAAAGAGGAGACACAGGUCCUUGGAAAGCUGCAGGCCAGGGCACUCUGCAGCCUGUCCUGACAGUGGGGGCUAAGAGGAGGGGAAGGGCCAUCCAUUACAAAGGCAAUGGUCAGUGGAGAGUAAUUCUUUGCCACCAAAAAAAGACCUAAAUAAAUGAA